rnacentral:lncRNA from 1 species
AUGGUUAUAAAGAAAUGAAAUUAAGCUGGGGUUGUGGCUCAGAGGGAGAGCACUUGCCUACCAUGAGUGAGGCACUGGGUUCGAUCCUCAGCACCACAUAAAAAUAAAAAUGAAGAUAUUGUGUCCACCUAUAACUAAAACAUAAAUAUUUUUUUAAAAAGAAGAAAUGAAAUCUAAACAGUUCAAAAGUAUAGAUAAUAAAAAGUAAGCUUCCCUGCCAUUCUGGAUUGUUUGUACCCUCCCCAGAGGCAACCACUAUUUAAUUUCUUAUAUAUUCUUCUGGAUAUAUAUAUUUCAUAAGAAUAUAUACUACUUAAGGGCUGAGGUUGUGGCUCAAUGGUAGAGUGCUCACCUAGCACACUAGAGGCCCUGGGUUUGAUCCUCAGCACCACAUAGAAAUGAAAUAAAGAUAUUGUGUCCACCUAAAACUAAAAAAUAAACAUUAAAAUAAAGAAUAUAUACUAUUUAAACCUCUUUCCACUGGUAUUUAUAAACAUAUAUCUUGUUAUUUCUUAUGACUGCAUAGUAUUCUACUGUAUAAAUAUAAUUAGUUUAACUGGUCCCUAAUGAUGGUAUUCUGGUUUUUGCUAUUACAAGUAUUUUUGAAUGAACAUUCCAUAAUACAUAUAUUAUUCCUUGUGUGUGAGAGUGUAUAUGUAGAGUAAAUUCCUAGCAGUGGAGUUGUGGGGCUGUGUAAUUGAUAAAGUACUCUUCAUUAUUGAUCAAGUGGCAGAGGUUUACACUCUUACCACAAGUAUGUGGGAGUACUUUGCACAGUUGUUGAGGUGGAAGCUAAGGAGAAAUAG